AAUGGGGGAAACCCUGAUGCAGCAACGCCGCGUGAGUGAUGACGGCCUUCGGGUUGUAAAGCUCUGUCUUCAGGGAUGAUAAUGACGGUACCUGAGGAGGAAGCCACGGCUAACUACGUGCCAGCAGCCGCGGUAAUACGUAGGUGGCGAGCGUUGUCCGGAAUUACUGGGCGUAAAGGGCGCGUAGGCGGCCUGUUAAGUCAGAUGUGAAACCCCCAGGCUCAACUUGGGGAUUGCAUAUGAAACUGAUGGGCUCGAGUGUCGGAGAGGAAAGCGGAAUUCCUAGUGUAGCGGUGAAAUGCGUAGAUAUUAGGAGGAACACCAGUGGCGAAGGCGGCUUUCUGGACGUUAACUGACGCUGAGGCGCGAAAGCGUGGGGAGCAAA
rnacentral:rRNA from 1 species